GUAUUCUUGAUGUUACUUUUAGAGGCUAAAUUAAAUUGAAAUAUGCAUUUAAAUGUUUAUUGACAUGUUUUUAUUUAACAUAAAAAUGUUUGUUUUGAAAUACUGUUAUACAUUGUAAAAGUUUCAAUGGAGACUGAAAUUGUUUCCUCUAAUUAUGUUUGUCAGUUGUGUAAAGAAUCAUAUGAUCAACCUAAAACAUUAUAUAAACAUUUGCAGAAAAUGCACAAUCCUGCACGCUCGAUGAAAGAUAAUCACACUUGCCCACUAUGCGGAGUUUUGUGCACCAAGUACGAGUCUUACCGAGAUCACCUUAUGUACAUUCACGGCCAAAGUGGGGAUAGUACGAAACUGACGUUUAAAUACCUUAAUGAUUUUUUGAUAUGGAAGUCUGAAGAGGAGAGGAUUAAGGAUUGUAAUUUUGCUUUGCAGAGUGUUCCUAAAAUUUUAUCAUCUGGUAAUAGAUUGUAUUAUUACCAAUGCGAUUUUUUAGAAACACGUCUAAAAAAAGAAAAGAUGAGAAAUACAGUGGUUAAGAAAAUUGAAUCAUGCCCUGCUAUGAUAUCAGUUAUCGAAUCUGAUAAAAAACCUCAAGUUCAAGUGGAAUACUGGGCAACCCAUGCUGGACAUAUAGUACCAGACUCACCAUUUGAGAAAGAUGAUGAAUUAACUGAUGCUAUCAGUUCUGUAAGAUCUGAUAAAAAUGCUGACAAUGAACCAUUUUCUGAAACAUUUGAUGCUUCAUGUGAUGAUACUAAUAUGGUUACAGAAACAGCAGGAAAUCAUGUUUUGACAGAAACGCUUGUAUUUAAUAAUAGAGCUACAAAUUCAUUCACAGUGACUCAACAAGUACCCAGCCUUGAUCAAAUAUCAAAUCAUAGUAAAAUUUUUAAUUCUAAAGCUAAAUCUAUUACUAAGAAAAGGACUUCUGAAAAAAGAGAUUUAUUGUCUUCAUCUCUUUACAGUUUAGCAUCUGUUGCAUGUGGCAAAGUGAGUAAAAAAAGUAAAAUCACUGAGAAAGAUAAAGUAAUUGAUAAAAAUUCAUCUGAAAAUUCAGAUAAAACUUCAAAUCCGACAGAACCAGAAAAGAAUAAUAUACAAUCAUCCAGCAGUGCUGAAGGUGAUGAAACAGUCUCUGCAGAAAUCACAUCAUCUAAAGUUGAUUUAGCUGUUGCAUCUAAAGAUUCUUCAAGUACUACUAAUUUGAAUGUUGGGCAUGGAAGACCUUUGUUUCUUUUAAACACUUUACCUAUGAAACAAAAUAUACUAAAUGCAAAUGCAGUUUCUUCUGGUCAAAAUGUUUUACUUUGUCCUGUGCCACAAAAUGUUUUGCCUUUAAGUAAUACUGGAAUAAUUUCAAAUCCUGUCUUGCACACUCAAUCAGGUGUAUUUGAUGUAAAUAACACAAAAGAGACACAUUCAUGUGCAUUGAAAAUAUCAUCUGUAGGCUCAGUUUGUAAAUCUACAGAGAAAAAAGCAUCAUCAGUUGUAGCUGAAAAUAUACAUGGAAUUGAAGCAUCUGCUUCUAAGUUAUCUUCAGAUCCCAAACCUGGCUGUUCUGGAAAAAAAAUAUCAUCAGUUGUUACUGAAAAAAUGCAGUCAGCUGGAAAAAAGACGGCAUUUCCGAGGAAAAAGAAAGUAAAGCUUUCUGAAGACACAAGAAAGCAAGACUUGCUUGGAGGUAAUAAGACUAAGGAGGCAAAUGUAGUAAAUUCACAAGUUUCUGCACCUAGUACUUCUAAUGAUUCUAAUGCUCAGAUAGUACUUGGUAAUAUACCCCCUGGUAUGACAUUUAUGAGAAUUAAUAAUAGUUUAAUUCCUGUGAGGAAUGCAUCUGGAACAUACCUGACAAAUUUACACCCCACUUUAACUGCAUUACCAACCAUUCCUAAUGCAGCUGGUGCUUUGUAUGGCUAUCCGCCAGUUCUAAAUUUAGCACCUCUGAAUUCAGUGAGAAUUCCUGCACCAAUAUCCAAGUCCUCUCAAGUUUCUGCGAAAUCUCCCAAUGUUGGAAAAGAUGUUAAAAGUAUUUUAAGUUCACCAGCUACAGUUUCUGCUCCAGCCACUACAUUAUAUGGUUAUCCUCCAGUACUGAACAUAACACCUUCCACUCCUGUUAUUCAUACGACAGUGUCUAAUUCUCCAUCACUGUCACUGAAAUCUGCCACUACUACUACAACUACAAUGGCGUCGUCAUCUACAGUGUCUGAUAUUCGCACUGCUUUGUUUGGAUUACCUCCUGUGUUGAAUAUAGCAGCACCAAUUCCAGUAAAUAUUUCCUCUGCACUGCCUAAUUCGAAAGUUACUGCACAAUCUGAAACCAUUGCGAAAAGUGUCAUGAAUACAUUAACCUCCCCAAAUAAAGCAUCAGUUGUGCCAAAUGCAUUAUAUAGUUUUCCUCCAGUAUUGAAAUUAACACCUUCAUUUUCUGUUAGUACUUCAACAACAUUAUCCAGUUCUCAAAUGUAUGUACAGCCACCAGCUGCAGCUGAUUUUAAAACAUUACCAUCUACUGCUGUUACUAAAAGCAUAGUGUCAAAUUUUUCAUUGUCUCCCAUUCAGACUGAACAAAUAAAUCAGAAGAGAAAUGCAAUUAAUAAAUCUGGACAUAAUGAAAAACAUGCUAAUGGCUCUGAAAUAUUGAAUGGUACAGCUAAGAAAUCGGGAAAAGCAAUUGCAUUGCAGUUAGAGAUGUCUGAUGAUAUAUAUAUAUUGGAACCAAUUGAAAACAGUGUUGAAGAAAGCGAUAUGUCGUGCCAAAAAAGUGGACCUAAAUCUGGGUUAAAUCUUCAGAAGGGCAAUGAUCCUCAAACUGAUUUUAAAAAAUCUGCUGUGUCCGACAUUCAGAAGACACAAAAUGGCAUUUUACAAAAUGAUGAAUAUUCUGAAAUUGAAGCAAAAUAUAUUGCCUGUCAAGAGGAGUGCAAGCGACUGAAAUUUGAACUAAUCAAAGCUCGAUUAAAUAAUAAAGAAAUCGCAUUUCUUAUGGAAUCUAAUAAAAAUCUGGACAACAGGUCUGAUUCCGAAAUGUGUAUGGAGAUUUCUUAUGAUGAUGCCCAAAGUUCUGUAAAAGUCCAUGAAAAUUUGAAGAAAGAUGAUGCAGAUAUUUAUGCUAUGAUUCGCACAUCUGUAUUGCGAAGUUUAUAUGCUGAUAUGAAAGAAUUAUGCGAACAGAAUGAGCAGUUAAGUGAUGAAUUGGAGAACUACAGACAUGUGGCCAUACCCGCAGAGGCAUUUUGAAACACUCUUUACCAGAACAGUCCAGCAGAUAACGUCUAAAGUUAGCCAAGCGAUGCUUCAUAGCGCAGCUUUCGAUUUUGUAUCCAACGGGGAAAAAAAUUAAAAGUGUCCAAGUGUUUCACACAACCAAAGAAGCAUUAGAAAAUGUUUUCUAAGGAGAUUGUAUCAGUGCUUUACCGCCUGAGGUGGCCAAUUUGACUGAUGAAGAGUACUUUGAUAAUGGUGAAAUGAUCACUCCAUCGGUAACAACAUAAAUGAUUUUGGACCAAACUAUUUCAGAGCAACUGCCAUCUACGUCUAGCACCAGUUAUAAAAAUGAAAAUAAAAAAUAGUUAGUUCGAAACUAUCAGACAAAUGCAGCCAAAAGCAAAUUGAACAAAAAAUAACCCUACUUAUGCUUUUAACAAAGAAGGUAAUUUUUCGGUUAAAAAUCUUGAGAGCAUUUCAAAUAUUUUAGAAAAUUUGAAUCCACAUGAAAGUUUUGAAGAAUUUUUAACUCCCGAAUUUUACGAAUAUGUAAUAAAUGAAACAGAAAGAUAUGCGAAAGUGUGAGAAAAUAAGCCAGAGUUUUCAGUUACAGUUGAUGAAUUGGAAGAGUUUUAUUGGUUUUUCGAUUUUCUCUGGCUACCAUACUUUACGUAAUGGAAGUGAUUGCUGGUCAGAGGAAGAUCUCAUAGUACCAAUAGUAAAUAAAUAUUUAGAAAUUAAUCUGUAAUCCAUUUUGCCAACAAUAAUUACGCAGCAAUACAAAAAUCAGACUGAGCAUUCAAAAUAAGAAAAAUAAUGAUGCAUAUAAAUCAGUUUUCAAAAAUUUGGAAUUUUCGAUAAAUUUCUGUCUGUUGAUGAAAUGAUUAGAUAUUAUGGUCAUUAUUUUUUCAAACGAUUUCUUAAAAGCAAAGCUAUACAGUUUUGCUAUAAAUCAUGGGCUAUGUGGAGUGUAAAGGGCUACUGUUGUAAUUUUGACUUAUGCUAUGGUGCGAAGAAUUUUGACAAUACUUCUGAAACUUAGAAUGAACCGCUUGGAACUUGAGUGGUGAAAAAAGUUUAAAAGACAUCCGAAGAUGUAUGUCAAACUGUGAAUAAAUUAGAAAAAAAGCAUUUGGUGAUGUCAUCGAGACCAAAGUGAUAGGCUCUGUACUUUUAGAUAGAAAAGAUCAUGUUAUACGUAAAAGACGAAACCAAAGAAGAUACCAAUUUAAAAAAUGCUCCAUGAUAGAUUUUAUAAAGCCUUAAGACAGAGAAUGGAAGAACAAUGUUGACAGAUCUUGUUACGCAUUUUGUAUAUUUUUGUACAAAUGAAAAUAUUGUUUUAUAUAUAUGUUUGAAAUUUUAAUAAUUUGAUAAAUAAAAUUGUAAAUAUUUUAAAUUUUUCUCUCUAUAUAAAUAAAAAUGCUACUAAUUGUUCAUGAUAUUAGAAUUUGUACAUUUGUGAAGAGUUUUUGCUGAUGAAGAAGUAAGAUAAUGAAGCAUAGCAAGUUUUAUUAAAUUCAUUAUUUUUAAAA
rnacentral:misc_RNA from 1 species